rnacentral:lncRNA from 1 species
ACAUAUUCCAAAAGCGCUUUCACAAAUGAUGUACAUUUGUCUUUAAACAGGCUCCAGUGUGGGGUUUGAACUGAUGACCCUGAGAUCAAGACCUGAGAGCCAAGAUCAAGAGUUGGACACUUAACCAACUGAGCCACCAAGGUGCCCUAAAUGAUGUAUGUUUACAUCUCACUUCCCCUAAGUCAUAGUUUAUCCUCAUUUUACAGAUAAAGAAACUGAGGCAAAAAUAGAAUCAGGGCACUAUUAUCUUUCCUAGACAUGGAAGCAAGGCAAGAUAUAUUCCAGAGUCCCAGUGGGAGAAUUCGUGUGCAGAUGACACUUGAAGACUGAGCAAAGGAAUAAAUGGAAUCCUGUUGGUCCCCCUUCUGACUUGACCUCCAUGGAAUCCAUUCUCACCUAUCAGAGAGAAAACAUGAUGAAAGCUGACAGAUACAAAGAUGAAUUAAUCCUCCACUUCCAUCCUCUGCCUCCUCCCCGUUUUUGGAAGGGGAAGCAGUAAGUCACUCCUAUCUUCAGUGCCCACCCUCUGUAAGGUGCAGGCU